AUCUAACUGACGAGUCCCAAAUAGGACAAAAACGCACUUCUUACAU
rnacentral:hammerhead_ribozyme from 1 species